ensembl:ncRNA lncRNA:CR44323 long non-coding RNA:CR44323
GACCAACCAUGCCGAACCGUGCCUAUAAUCAUCAUCAACAUUACCAGCCGCCUGCAAUGUGGAGCAAUCACGUCCUGGACCAAAGCCACCAAACUGAGCCUGGCCAGCGGCUCCUGCUCUCGACCGCCGUACUCCAGCCAAACUUCAAUAAAUGUCACUCCUCAAGCUUUGCAUCUAAAAAUUGAUGACAAUAAUUUGUUGCAUUUGCCCGAGGGGGUGUGGCAACUGGCCAGCGCCGAUCGCCAGUUGGAUCCCAGUUCAGUUCAGCUUAGUUCAGUCCCCAAAUGCCUUGGACAGACGACCAAGUUGACUCGGAGCUGAGCUGCUCCUGCUGCUGCUGUUGCUGCUGCUGCUGCUGUUUUCAACACAAUUUAUACAAAGUGUCGCAGUUUUUGGCGCUUUGCAUUUGUUGCUGACAGACUGCCCACCUGCCCGCCCCGCGGAAAAGCGGCAACGGUUUGCACUUUGCCGAUGCAAAAAAGUAACAUAAAUUUCGUCAUUUUGUCACAAGUCGUUUGUAUACGAUACCGCUGCACCUAG